CACCUUCCUCACUCUGUCUUUUCGUAUUUCUGUGCCUCACCCAGGUGCUGUCAUUUGUUACAUGGACUCCUUGGCUCUUGUGAAGAGGCAACCAUCCUGGAAAGGUGGAAUCAGCUUUAAACUUUCCACUUUGGACAAAGAAUGAGCUUUAAACUUUCCACUUUGGAGAUCCUCACUGUUGAACAUCUGUAGUUCUACCAAAUAACCACUGUAAUUUAAAAGGAUACAUGGAAAAGUUGAAAGUCUGCAA